rnacentral:misc_RNA from 1 species
GAUGAAGAACGUAGCGAAAUGCGAUAAGUAAUGUGAAUUGCAGAAUUCAGUGAAUCAUCGAAUCUUUGAACGCAUCUUGCGCUCCUUGGUAUUCUUAGGAGCAUGCCUGUUUGAGUGUCAUUAAAUUCUCAACCGCACUGACUUUGAAUUGGUGUGGCUUGGAUUUGGGGGGAAAAUUGUUGUGGGCUUUUUUGUAUAGUCUGCUCCCCUGAAAUUGAUUAGCGGUACCUUUGUGGAACUGUCUACAGGUGUGAUAAUUAUCUACAUCCUAGACAUCUGCUGGAAUGCUGCUUUCUAAACCUUACUUGUAUUGACAAUCUUGACCUCAAAUCAGGUAGGACUACCCGCUGAACUUAAGCAUAUCAAUAAGCGGAGGA